rnacentral:rRNA from 1 species
UGAGGAAUAUUGGACAAUGGGUGAGAGCCUGAUCCAGCCAUCCCGCGUGAAGGACGACUGCCCUAUGGGUUGUAAACUUCUUUAUACUGGGAUAAACCUACCCUCGUGAGGGUAGCUGAAGGUACAGUAUGAAUAAGCACCGGCUAACUGCCGUGCCAGCAGCCGCGGUAAUACGGAGGGUGCAAGCGUUAUCCGGAUUUAUUGGGUUUAAAGGGUCCGUAGGCGGGCUCGUAAGUCAGUGGUGAAAUCUCAUAGCUUUAACUAUGAAACUGCCAUUGAUACNGCGGGUCUUGAGUAAAGUAGAAGUGGCUGGAAUAAGUAGUGUAGCGGUGAAAUGCAUAGAUAUUACUUAG